GGCUGCUGUCUCCCAGGGCUCCAGUCGCCAGGGCUGCCGGCUGACUUCCCAACCACAUGGAAACGCACCAAGCGACCCAGGAAGUCUGCAUUGCAGGAUUCAGUGAAUGUGCACUGCUAAGUGGCCUGCUUGCUCAUCCUGGAGAACACACCUGAACCCCGGACCUGGUGGGGGGCACCAAGGGGCUGGUGGUAUGAGCUCUACUCCGGACAGAAGGAGGUUAGCCCUGUGCUGUCCGACAGGAACCAUCUGGGCCACACUGUCCCUGCAACAACUGGGAGGGACCUCGAGCCCAUGGCGGAAAUCCACACUGCCUUCGACUUUGCCUUCUCAGCGGAAGCCCUUGGCGCCAAGCACCGGCCAGCCCAGUUGCCCUACAAGCUGGGGCGUCCCAGAAAGUCUUGGAGCCUAGCAGGGUGUGGAUCCACAGCCCAGACAGUCAGCCUCUGGUGCUACAGGUGCCCUACUGGUCCGGUGAGUUUCUCAGAGGGUGCUGGCAAGGUGGCUUUAGCAAGCAAGCAAGCAAAACUACCCCCCCCCCCAAGACCAUCAGCCUCCAGGGAAUGGCUUUUGUGUCAAUGCUGGGAAAACCCUGGAAGCUCCUGGCUGCUUCUCUCCACCCUAGGAUGGAUGGGGAGAAAAGGAAGUCCCUCUAGGAAGCUAUAUCUUCCUGGAGCCCUCAGCCUGUAACUCAAACACUCCAGACUCCCUCUCUUGCCUCUUGUUAUCUUGGCACUCCCUAAUCCCCCAAGGAAGAAGAGUGUGUUUAAGUCCCAGCCCUCUUGCUGCUAGCAUGUGGCCUUGGGAAAGUGAGCCAGCCCUGCUAAGCUGAAGCUAUGGGCAGCUAUAAAACUGCCUAUGGGAUGCUCGUGAGAACUUAAUGCAGAGCACUUAGCAUUGUGGAGCACACAGUAAAUGCUCAGUAAAAGGCGGGCAUUAGCAUCAUUCCUCCAGAGAACAGGAAGGCGCCUGCACUUGUCUCUUGGGAGAGAGACUGGGUAUCAGACUCCCGGGGGAGACAGCCUAGAACUGUGCAUUGUUUUCUCUUUGACUAAUACAUAAACCAGAGCAUGCACCUGAACUAAAGAGCAGACAGUCUUCACUCUCAGGGCACCACGCAGUUUGGCUCCCCACCAUUUUAGAUAUUUCUUGUUGCAUGAAGCUAAAUUCCAUGGCUGGUUUAAAAAAAAAAAAAAAAAAAA
rnacentral:lncRNA from 1 species